rnacentral:rRNA from 1 species
GAUGAACGCUGGCGGCGUGCCUAAUACAUGCAAGUCGAGCGAACAGACGAGGAGCUUGCUCCUCUGACGUUAGCGGCGGACGGGUGAGUAACACGUGGAUAACCUACCUAUAAGACUGGGAUAACUUCGGGAAACCGGAGCUAAUACCGGAUAAUAUAUUGAACCGCAUGGUUCAAUAGUGAAAGACGGUUUUGCUGUCACUUAUAGAUGGAUCCGCGCCGCAUUAGCUAGUUGGUAAGGUAACGGCUUACCAAGGCAACGAUGCGUAGCCGACCUGAGAGGGUGAUCGGCCACACUGGAACUGAGACACGGUCCAGACGCCUACGGGAGGCAGCAGUAGGGAAUCUUCCGCAAUGGGCGAAAGCCUUACGGAGCAACGCCGCGUGAGUGAUGAAGGUCUUCGGAUCGUAAAACUCUGUUAUUAGGGAAGAACAAAUGUGUAAGUAACUAUGCACGUCUUGACGGUACCUAAUCAGAAAGCCACGGCUAACUACGUG